rnacentral:rRNA from 1 species
CCAAUAGCGUAUAUUAAAGUUGUUGCAGUUAAAAAGCUCGUAGUUGAAUUUCGGGAUCAAUAUGUCGGUCGUGCUUCGGUACGUACUGGCGUUAUUGGUUUCUCCCUUCUGAAGAACCGCGAUGUCAUUAAUUUGGUGUCGUGGGGAAUCAGGACUGUUACUUUGAAAAAAUUAGAGUGUUUAAAGCAGGCUCGCGCUUGAAUACAUUAGCAUGGAAUAAUGAAAUAGGACGUUUGAUUCUAUUUUGUUGGUUUUUAGGAUCGACGUAAUGAUUAAUAGGGAUAGUUGGGGGCAUUAGUAUUCAAUUGUCAGAGGUGAAAUUCUUGGAUUUAUUGAAGACUAACUACUGCGAAAGCAUUUGCCAAGGAUGUUUUCAUUAAUCAAGAACGAAAGUUAGGGGAUCGAAGACGAUCAGAUACCGUCGUAGUCUUAACCAUAAACUAUGCCGACUAGGGAUCGGAUGAUGUUAAUUUUUUAAUGACUCAUUCGGCGCCUUACG